UAUUAAGACACAUAAGGCAGAUUUGUGUAUGUCAACAUUAUAUAAAUAGACCUAUUUGAGGGAACAUAUUAUGUUACAGACGAAUACUCAAAUUGAGAAAGCACACAAACAUGGUUAUCAAAUCAUGUUGUUUUCUUGUGGUUAUAGCUCUCUGCACAAACUAUCUUCUUGCUCAAAAGAAUAAAACAACCUUUAAAGGAGAGUUGACUCGGACUGAAGAUAGUGAAACACGAGCAGAUCUCAGCCUUUCUCAUCGCCAUAGAAACUGGGAUUUCAACGCGAGAGGCUUUGGUACAUCAAAAGGACAUCGAGGUGGAAGUCUUGGGGUAUCACAAAAACGUAAAAACCUUAAUUUAGGUUUGUCAGUUUUUGGGGACAACCAGGGUGACCGAGGUGCGCUUGUGGGUUUUAAGUGGAACUUUGGAAGAAAGAAAACACCCACUGCUCCAUUAUUUUAAUGUUAUGUAACUUGUAUCUUACCUGACUCUUAAACUACACAUGUUAAAGAUGACUGAACUGUCAAUAAAUAAGUUUCAUUCUAA